GACAAGGAGGUGCUGUGACGGUGUGUGAUGUGUGGACUAUGGAGAGAUCCAGAAUUAGCUGGUUAUUACUGGCAAUGGUGAAUAAAAGAAAGCAAAAGUUGAUUCAAAAUAUCAGAGGACAAGAAUUGAGAGACAAUGAUCUUCAAGAUGAACAUGAAUCACAUGAUAUAACAUCAAAUUCAUAAUUGGAUACACAAAAUGGUGCACUGGAACUAGAUCAAAAUGAGGAGUUUACUGAGGAGAUGCUUACAUCUCAAAGGCAACAAAAUAGACGUGGGAGGACAGUGAUGAGGGAUGUGCAUGCAUUAGAUCCUGAUGAUGUACUUGUAGUGCAAUUUAAUGAAAGAGGCCAGCCUUAUGGGGAUAUACAACCAGUUCUUGCCAAUUUUGUGGGUACGAUCGCUAGAAAUGGGAACUUGUUGCCCCUUAGUUUUCUUGAUUGGAGAAAGAUGCCCAAAAAACGCUUGAAUGAUGCAUGGAGAAAAGUGACCGCACGUUUUGAUAUUCCCGAUCGCCAUCGAGAUGUUAUUAUGCAAAUGAUGGGGGCAGCAUGGAGGCGAUGGAGGACUGAAAUCAAAGCUAAGUCUUAUGAUUCGAAUAUUCCAUUGGAUGAGCUUGUUUCCAUUCGUCCAGUUCCUCAAAAGUUGACUCCUGAAGUUUGGGAAGCAUUGUGCCAUUAUUGGAACACUAAUGAGAAAAUUUCAAAAAUUAAUCAAGAAAAUGCGAAGAAAAAAAGAGGGAGUCAUGCGCUGGGUCGUACAAAUAUUCCAUCCUUGGAGCAUAAAUUUUUUCAGGAAAAGGGGAGAAAAUCUACUCGCAUUGAGAUAAUAAAAAUAAGUCGUUGAAGUAAAAAGAAAGGAGAUGCUCCUGUUGAUGAUGAAGUGAUCCGAGUUGAGGCUUUACUAGAUGAAGCUGUGCGGCGUCGACUUCAAGACAAGCCUGAGGGAACUCAACCUACAGAAGUGCAUGAGGACGCAUUUCGUGAUGUUUUUGGACCCGAACAUUCUGGCCGAGUUCAAUGUUUAGGUGCUGGUGCACUUCCUAGCCAAGUUUUCCCUGAGCUGUGUAAGCGCACAAUCUAUACACCAAGUUAUCACUCUAAUUCAAAUAUGACAGCUGAAUUCAAGGAAAUGCAAGAAAAAAUAAAAGAAAUGGAGGCACGGGAAGUACAGAGGCGAAUAGAAACAGAGCAAAUGAUAAGGCAAAUGCAUGACCAACAACUUCAAAAUUUUGCACAUAUUAUGCAGAGUAUGAUAUCCGGAGCUGUUGGGGGAUCUUGUGGCCCAGAAUUGUUACUGGCACAGAUGGCGGCUAUAAUGGCAGAGAUUAUGCAACGAAAUAUAGAUGCUCCACCAAAUGCAAAAGGAAAUGAUCCUACACCUCCACCACCAACAGAUCCAUCUAAUAAUUAGAUAAAUGUUUUAGAGAAAACUUUCUUUAAAUUAUGUUGCCACUUGUUAGUGCUAUUGUGUUAUGUUAUUUUGGGGUUGCACAUUUUUGUAAAAGAAUUUUGUACUUGUUACUGAUUGUAACGACCCACCUUCUGGGUACUGGCUGUAAGGCCGGUCGCUACAAUUUAUGCUAAACUAUACUGUGCGGAAAGCUGGGCUAAUUAAAAUUUUACUCUACUAA